CCUCAUAUAAUUAAAAAUCCGCCGGACACUUCAGAAGCACAAACAGCACAUGAUACAGCGACACAGCUUUCCUAUGGUACUCUUCAAUUUCAGAACAUGAAGCAAUUUCAGCACAGAUUUUCCAACUUCAUUUGGGAUACUUCACAUAUGAGACUUCUACAUCUUGAAACCAUCUCCAACAGAUUC